ACAACAACGUUCGGACCGUCGGUCUACCUAGCAAUAUCACCUGCUCGGUGGAAGAUCUUCCCUUUGUCGUAUAUU
rnacentral:pre_miRNA from 1 species